rnacentral:rRNA from 1 species
UACGAAGGGGGCUAGCGUUGUUCGGAAUUACUGGGCGUAAAGGGCGCGUAGGCGGCCUGUUAAGUCGAACGUGAAAUCCCCGGGCUCAACCCGGGAACUGCGUCCGAUACUGGCAGGCUUGAAUCCGGGAGAGGGAUGCGGAAUUCCGGGUGUAGCGGUGGAAUGCGUAGAGAUCCGGAAGAACACCGGUGGCGAAGGCGGCCUGCUGGGCAGUUGCUGACACUGACGGCGCGACAGCGUGGGGAGCAAACAGG